rnacentral:rRNA from 1 species
GUGUCAGCAGCCGCGGUAAUACGUAGGGGGCAAGCGUUGUCCGGAAUCAUUGGGCGUAAAGAGCGUGUAGGCGGCUCGGUAAGUCUGCUGUGAAAGUCCAGGGCUCAACCCUGGGAUGCCGGUGGAUACUGUCGAGCUCGAGUCCGGAAGAGGCGAGUGGAAUUCCUGGUGUAGCGGUGAAAUGCGCAGAUAUCAGGAGGAACACCGAUGGCGAAGGCAGCUCGCUGGGACGGUACUGACGCUGAGACGCGAAAGCGUGGGGAGCAAACAGGAUUAGAAACCCUGGUAGUCC